rnacentral:lncRNA from 1 species
AGGGCUCUCGGAGUCUCCCCUCGCUUCUUUCGCUUCCCCGGGCUCCCCGAGCCCCCUCAGCGGGCUGCCCUAGGCGGGUUGGGGCCGUCCUCCAUCGGGUUCCUGCCGCCUCACGCCGCCCGCCUCAGCCGCGCAGCUUCCGGCGCCUCCCCGCCGCCAUGUCGGGAGCCUGCGCGCUGCGGGCUGGGGGGGCGAGGGGGGCUGAGGCGUCUCCUCCUCCUCCUUCUUUCUCCUCCUCCUCCUCUUUUCCCUCGGUGGCGAAGGGCUCAGCUCGCUGAGGUGGCCGAGAGAGGGCUUCUCCUGGCCGGCCGUGGAGAUUGUCACUGCAUGGCUGAUGGUUCCCGAGAAAUCAAAUACGGAGUGGGAGUUUGUUUUCUUCAGACCACCUCUACAUUUCCCACAAUGGCAAUACAUUCAUUCUGCCAUUUGGAGGAGCCUGUGCCACAGAAUAAUGAUGUGAAGAAAUCGAACUUCUUUGCAAGGAAGAGUCUUCAGUUGUGA